ensembl:lncRNA ITGA9-AS1 ITGA9 antisense RNA 1
GGGCGGGUGGGUGUGUCCCGGCCCGGGGACCGGCCUCCGCCGCGGGCUCUGCCCGCUCGCCUGCUCGCCUGGUGGGGGAGAGGGGAGCGGGGCCGACACAGGCCUAAGCCACCACAUAAAAAGUCAGACCAUCUGCUGGAAGAACCACAUGGAGAGGCCCUGAGUCAACAUGGAGAGGAAGAAGGACUUGACUGAAUCCAGCCUUCCAGCUGUCCCUACCAAGGUGCCAGGCAUGAGAAUGAAGCUGUCUUGAACUCUGAAGACCAGCUUAGCCACCAGAACUUCCAGCUUCUAGAGACUACUAGUCAAUUAGAAAAAUAAAUGCAUCAUUAUAACUGUGGAAGUGCUACAAAGGAGAAGUUCAUGAUGAUAAAAGAUCCUCAUGAUAGAGGCAUGGGAGUGAACAGAGUUCCCUGAGGAGCCAUUUGAGCUGAAGGUGAAAGGACAAGCAGAAGUUUACCAGCUAAACAAGGGAGGGAAGAUCAUUCCAAGGAGAGGGAACAUGAUGUGCAAACCCCCUUUGGCAUGAGUGAACUUGGCAAGGGUGAGACACUGCCAUUGGACAGUGAACUGGAGCCAACAGGAUGAACAAGAAGCAGCGGGAAGAUGUUCAUGAUAUGCUGGAGAGACAGGAGCUGGAGGCUGCAGUAAGAUCUCCAUGCUUUACCUUAAGAGGAAUGAGAAGCCACUGGAGGAUUUUGAGCAGGGCAGUGAUGUGAUUUGCAUUUUGCAAAGUACACUGCAAAAUGAAUCUAGGUCAGAAGAGAUAACUGAAUGUGGGAGUACAAGGAAAAAGCCCCCGUGAGAGGGCUGCGGGGGAAAUGGUUUCCCCAGGUUAGAUCCACGCUUUCAGUAAGAAAGGAGGUGGUGUGAAAGGAGAAGAUUGACUGAGGAGGAGGAGAAGUCUGCUGGUUUUGGGGGAGUGGCUGUGAGGGUCGUAGCAGGCUGAGCUGGGGAAGGCAGGAGCUCUGGCCAGUGAAGGGAUGGCUGAUGGCCUGGUGCGGACCCUGGCUGGAGGGCUCACACACUGGACGCUGACUAACAAAACAGACGAAAAUGGGGAGUAUGAGGAUCUGUCUCAAGGGGGCCUUUGAGGAGGGCAAACAGGCCUUUGAGACAGGUCCAGACACUGGCACCCUGCCUGCUUCUGUAGAAUUUAACGUACCUGAGGUUGCCAAGCUGGUGUCAUGGAGUGGCCAGAAGCCAGCUUCCAGUCUGAGGCAGUGGGUGAACCUAAACCACACUAUUUGAUUCACUUCUGUGUUUCUGGAAACUUUUAUGUUCUGAUCAAUGCAAAUAUGCCUACUGUAACAGCUGGCAAUGCCCAUGUCUCCACAAGGCCUGAGAAUAUGAUCACAAUGGCAGUACAUCUCACCCAGGCUUCUGCUGGAUGGAGGGCUUCCAGAGACGGAGGGACAGCUCGGUCAAUACCAUCCAAGAGGAGGUUCAACUCCAGACCUAGGCCAGCUGAAGGUCAAUGACAAGGGCAAGAUGCUCUCUGCAGUCAACAUCACACACUUGUCUCAAUAGAAGGAAGGAAUUUAUAUAAAAUAAGAAGUGGAAAGAGAAUAACAUCUGUGACAGUGAGAUGACAUUUCCACCCGAUUCUGAUUCCAUCUAAUAGCCAGUGCAGGUGUGGGGGAGGGAGGAGGGAGACAGGGUGGUUGGGGCUGGAAUAAAUGUUUUCAGCAGAACCAUGCCUCAGAUGGCUCUCAGAACUCAGCCUAGAAGGCAAGCCAGUUCAGAGGCACAGGGAGACUUAUGGAGAC